CCUACGGGUGGCAGCAGUAGGGAAUAUUGCUCAAUGGGGGAAACCCUGAAGCAGCAACGCCGCGUGGAGGAUGAAGGUUUUCGGAUUGUAAACUCCUUUUGUUAGAGAAGAUAAUGAUGGUAUUUAAUGAAUAAGCACCGGCUAACACCGUGCCAGCAGCCGCGGUAAUACGGAGGGUGCAAGCGUUACUCGGAAUCACUGGGCGGAAAGAGCGCGUAGGCGGGAGAGCAAGUCAGAUGUGAAAUCCUAUGGCUUAACCAUAGAACUGCAUUUGAAAAUGUGAUUCUAGAGUAUGGGAGAGGUAGGUGGAAUUCUGGGUGUAGGGGUAAAAUCCGUAGAGAUCAGGAGGAAUACUCAUUGCGAAGGCGAACUGCUAGAACAUAACUGACGCUGAUGCGCGAAAGCGUGGGGAGCAAACAGGAUUAGAUACCCGAGUAGUC
rnacentral:rRNA from 1 species